GGAGGGGACAGCUCAGCGGUAGAGCACAUGCUUAGCAUGCAUGAGGUCCUGGGUUCAAUCCCCACUACCUCUG
rnacentral:tRNA from 1 species